ensembl:lncRNA
CCCUUCAUCCUCUCCGUCGACAGUCUUGGUGGCAGAUGUUAAGGCACUGGCAGCAGCAUUGCCCUCAGCCUCUUGUCCCGCUGCGGAGGCCCCGGUCUCUGCUCCCGGGACCUUAGGCAGUCCCAGCAGAGCUGACUGGUGCUGGAGGAGCAGUCUCUGGGCGUCCUGGAGCUGGGUGGUGGUGAAGGAGGGCAGACUGGCGUACAGGGCACUGGCCUGAGCAGCGUGGGCCUGGGCAAUGCUGGGAUCCUGGGCAAGCCUCCCCCCAGCACUCCCAGGCAGAGCAGCAGUUUGGGGGUCAUUCUUAUGGUUGUGUGGAGGACCACUUGUGGUUGACAGUGGGGCCAUGCUCUGAGUCUGGAUCUGUGUUGAAAGAGACUGUGGCUUCUGCUGCGGGCCGUCCAGGUGAGACUGUCCAACAUGAGAGGGCACAGGAGGGGCCUGGAGUGGAGUGGGCUGAGGAGCCCCAAUCAUCUGACUGUUAGCUGAGCCCACCACAUUAGACAGAGGCUGUGUGUAUUCAGGUCUCCCCUGCACUGGGGCAGCCUGCUGUGGGACAGGGUAGUUCACUUUUUGUGGCUGAACUGGGACAGGACCAGGGCCAGUGGGCUGACUAGCCACUGCCUGUGCGUAGGUGAGCUGCUGGGACUGAAGUGCGGUCAGAGAUGCAGGGAGGUGGACAUUGGGUUGGGCCACACUGGUCUUCACCUGGGACAGGGGGUCCUGGGCAAACAUGUGGUUCAUGGCUCCAGGGGCAACAGGCUGAAACCCUGUGGGAGGAGAGGCAUAGUCCUGGGGGUGCUGUGUGGACUCCCCACUACAUACACUGUCAGCGUAAUGGCUCAAAGUGCUCACACUGCUGCUAACAGAACUACCACUGGUGGUCUCACGAUCUGAGGGGCCAGCAAAGCUCUCACUCACAUACUGACGCACACCGACAGAGCUGCUGUCAGAGGCAGAGGAGCUGGGUGCAGAGGCGGGGGCCUCUUUAUCAUAAAACUCUGUACAAGUCCAUCUACCCUUCCUAAAGGGCUCUGAGCUGGAGUCCAGCUUUACCACCCUGAAGCGAGAGCUGGUGGUGCCCGCAGCUGGGGCAGGGUGGGCCGGGGCUGAUUGUUGGGGUGCAGCGGUGUGGGGGGCACUGAUGGGGGCCACAGCAGCAGCUCUGACUCCCAUCCCACCUGAGGCACUGGUCGCAGCAGCAGAACUUGAAGGAGUCAUUGUUAUGUUGGAGUUUUGGUUGGUUUGCUGUUGAAUAAUGGUGGCAUGAGUACUAGUUGUAAGGUUAGCUCCACUGCCCCCACUGCUGCUUAUCACAUUGAGAGGAAAACCAGACGUGCUACUGCUAGCGCUUGUGCUAAUUCCUCCUCUCACAGGCACAUUGGCAGAGCUCAACAUAUUCACAUUACUAACACUGCUGCUCUGGGGAUUAGCUAUGCUAACUGUAGUGCCCACAGCAGAGCUCUGCAUUCCAGCCACACUUCCUGGGGCCGCGACCCCCACACCUGGAGGGGCAGCCUGGGAAACACUCUCCUGAGUGGCCCCCACAUUUGAAGGCAUUUUCAGGGUGACAUUGGGUAACGCUCCAGCAGACUGGGGAUUGCCAGCAUAGGCCUGGGCUUGGUUAGGAUGGUGUUGAUGAUGAUGGUGAUGAUGGUGGUGAUGUAUGGUCCCGUUUACCAUGGCCCCACUGUGUGUUGAAGCCUGGAGCAGGGAGUGUGCCGGUUGGUUUGGGGAUACAGCUCCUGGGGUCUCUGCUUCAUGGAAGUUAUUCAGCGUCUCCUCAGAAGAGCUCCUCUCAGCUCCGACAACAUCAUUAGCACGGGAAAGAGAUGUGUCCAAGAUUUCAGAGGAGGACAGGUCCUCUGUGUGAGACUCAUCUAAGUCAUCAUAACUUUCUGUGUCUUCUGCAAUACUGUUGUUAGUACUCACAGAGACCUGAGCUGGAGUCACGCUUGUAAUCUGAAAACCACUCUUCUUCUUUGUCAGAGCUCCAGUGGCCUGGGCGGGCUGGGCCUGGGUGAGCAGGUUCAGGCUAUGGGGUGGAGGGUGGUGAGGACCCGGGGAAGAGGAGCCUGCGGGCGGUUGGCACUGAAUCAACAGGGCGGGCUGAAACUCAUCCGCUGCGACGUGGCUGUUAUUGACCACGGCGUUUGUCGGUGGUGACAGCACCGUGCCGCUCCCGCUACCCGUGUUACUACCCCUCCGGUGGAAGACGGCCUGAUGCGCCAUCUUCCUGCCACUGCCAGAGUCUGCGGCGGGCUCCGGAUGAUGCAUUUGGAGAAGAUCCGGGGGGUUGUCGGUCUCUGACAGUAUGCAGUAAACUUGCAGUUCGUUAAGGGCGCCGUUUUGACACAACUGCGUUUGGACAGCACAACCAAAAAUAAAAUAUCGGAACAGAUCUCGUGCAAUUGUUUUGAAUGUUUGGUCAAAGUUGUGCUGAUUUCAGCCUCCCAUGCACAGCUCGCUGUUGUCCGUUAGCUUCAGAAGCGACGGAGGCUAGUGGCGGUUGGCUGAACAGCUUAAGCUAAAGUCAGCUGAUGCCUGGGAAGUUUCCCGGUGUUAUCCGAUCAAAACGAUUUAAUCAAGAGCUAACAUGUUGGUGGUUUCAUAAGCAAGACAACUUGUAAGAUCCCUUCGUACUGUUACAGAGAAGCUGCUGAGUAAGUCAGCGCUGAAUUUAGGUGCUAGCCGGAUAGAGGAGUCACCGGCUAGCAGCUAAACACUGACUACUGUCUGUUUUCAAUGCUCGAUGUGCUCAAAGGGAGAGAAAAUCAAAACCAUCAACCUUAUAUCCGAUGCACAGUUCCAUACACAUCAAGUGGCCUCCGAGCGCCGUCGUGAAAAAGCUUUAAUCCAUCUCAGUGAGUCCCGGUGGUGGUGUGGGUUUUGCUGUAUCACUGGUCCUCCUGAUAGCGCUGCUCAGUGUAGCCUGUGCCGCUGCUGUGCUCUGCUGUGACGGGACUGGAGGGGAGGGUGCUCCGUAACAUGGCGACCGCGCAUGGUCCGUGCGCCAGAC